rnacentral:rRNA from 1 species
UGACCUCGAAUCAGGCGGGACUACCCGCUGAACUUAAGCU